UCCAAUGAACACUAGGGAGGGAAGUCUGGAAUGAUACAAAGAAGAUUAGCAUGUCCCCUGUGCAAUAAUGACAUGCAAAUUCAUGAAGUGUUCCAUAUAUUU